AAAGCCGCUGCUCUUAAAAAAGGUAUGUUGUUGUGUCCUACUCCCUCUGGUUCUAAAUAUAAGAGAAUGUCUACUUUUUAGAUUCAUUGAGAAUCUAAUGUAUUUAGUCUAUAUUAUAGGCUAGAUACAUUGAAUUCUCAAUGUAUCUAAAAAGUGGAUGUUCUCUUAUAUUUAGGACCGGAGGGAGUAAUAGAUAAGCAUCUAUCUAUGAUUCCCAAUGUCUUGUUCUAAUAUUGAUGCCAGUUGACAUUUUGAAGGCUUUAAUUAUAUGAUGUUUAUGUAAAAUUCAGGUGAUCGAGUAAAAUUUGUCGGUAACUUUCCACCUGCUGUCUCAUCACUACAAAAUUAUUCUUCAAGGUAAUUUAUGGUAUUGAUGAAUUAUACAUAGAAGUGUAAUCUUAUAGGUAAUUUAUGGUAUUGAUGAAUUAUUUGAAAUUUAUUUGAGCUUUAAUUGUCUUACACAUGCACUUGUCUAGUCUGCAUUUGUUGUACAAAUGUACUUAAAAGAUCAUAUAGUCUACAAUAAUUGUUAUACACAUGCAAUUGUCUGACCUUAGUCUUCAUUUGUCAUACAAAUGUGCGUAUAUCAUCAUAAAGUCUAUAAUAAUUAGUCCUUGUUAUGCCGAUAAUGUAGGGCGGAUUCUAGCAUGAGAGAGCCACUUAUAUGUCUCACCUGUGAGAGACUGAAUUUCAACCGCUGGAUGAGUUAAACGGUUGUGAUGUUGUACCUGGAGAGAGGAAAAUUCUUGCAGUUAUACCAGGUGAAUAUUUUAUUACUGCAGUCAGGGACAUAUUUUGGUACUCAUAAUUGAUCGUAAGUGCAUUAUAGUUUCUUUGUUUGAAUAGGUUCUCAAUUUUUUAAAUCUAGACUUGACUCAAAUAGUUUCCUCAAAUUGAUGACUGAGCUUUUUCUUGCAUAUGUG
rnacentral:lncRNA from 1 species